CGGACGGGUGAGUAAUGUCUGGGAAACUGCCCGAUGGAGGGGGAUAACUACUGGAAACGGUAGCUAAUACCGCAUAACGUCGCAAGACCAAAGAGGGGACCUUCGGGCCUCUUGCCAUCGGAUGUGCCCAGAUGGGAUUAGCUAGUAGGUGGGGUAACGGCUCACCUAGGCGACGAUCCCUAGCUGGUCUGAGAGGAUGACCAGCCAUACUGGAACUGAGACACGGUCCAG
rnacentral:rRNA from 1 species